UGCUUUCGAUUCCCAUCCUUUCAAUUUCUAGGGAUAUGGUUAUCACUGCGAUGUUAUUGCAGCUGUCACUGAGGUUUUCCACCAUCACCGAAGCCGCUGUGGGGACAGUUUGGAAUUACUGCCAUUGCUUCGUCUCCAUGUUUCUCCUUUGUUAAGUUCGAGUUCCAGUUGUUGUGUGUCGCGCUUAGAGUUGCAGUUGUUGCUACGGAUAGUGGAUAAAGCUGAGAUUACGGCUGCUGCUGUCGCUGGCCGAGGAGAAGGGGUUUUUGACGCAUUUUGGUUUUGCGAGUUUCGACUUUGAGGAACCGGAUGAAGAAGCAUUAAGAAGAGUUGUACUGCUUUUGGUUUA